rnacentral:tRNA from 1 species
GCUGGUGUAGCCCAAUCGGCAGAGGCAAUCGGCUUAAAACCGAUUCAGUGUGGGUUCGAAUCCCUCCACCAGCACCA